UACGGAGGGGGGCAAGCGUUGUUCGGAAUUACUGGGCGUAAAGGGCGCGCAGGCGGCUGCUCAAGUCAGGCGUGAAAGGCCUGGGCUCAACCCGGGAAUUGCGCUUGAGACUGGGCUGGCUUGAGUGCGGGAGAGGACGGUGGAAUUCCCAGUGUAGAGGUGAAAUGCGUAGAUAUGUGGAGGAACACCGAUGGCGAAGGCAGCCCCCCUGGGUUAACACUGACGCUCAUGCACGAAAGCGUGGGGGAGCAAACAGG
rnacentral:rRNA from 1 species